GAUGAAGAACGCAGCAAAAUGCGAUACUUGGUGUGAAUUGCAGAAUCCCGUGAACCAUCGAGUUUUUGAACGCAAGUUGCGCCCGAAGCCUUUUGGCCGAGGGCACGUCUGCCUGGGCGUCACGCAUCGCGUCGCCCCCCACAAUUCUCCGUAAAGGGAACAUGUGUUUUGGGGGCGGAUAUUGGUCUCCCGUGCUCAUGGCGUGGUUGGCCGAAAUAGGAGUCCCUUCGAUGGACGCACGAACUAGUGGUGGUCGUAAAAACCCUCGUCUUUUGUUUCGUGCCGUUAGUCGCGAGGGAAACUCUUAGAAAACCCCAGCGUGUCGUCUUUUGACGGCGCUUCGACCGCGACCCCAGGUCAGGCGGGACUACCCGCUGAGUUUAAGCAUAUCAAUAAGCGGAGGA
rnacentral:misc_RNA from 1 species